CGAGCUCGGAGCCUUCGCCCGGGUGUGAGGUCCCGCCGUGGAGACCCAGGGGGCCGAGCUCUGCUGCCAUUUUCUGCCGGCCCAGGGCCAGGGGGAAUCGCAGGGAGCGGGUCCUUGUCACACCCGCAGGCUGCAAGGACACCGCGGGAUCCAGGUCUUGCUCACCUGCCCUUGGGCAGUGGUGACUGGAAUCCUUCAGGUGUGCCAGCACGCCAGCAGCAGGACUACACUCCACUGAGCGGGAGGAUUUUUU